rnacentral:rRNA from 1 species
ACACGUAGGGGCCUGACGUUGUUCGGAAUCAUUGGGCGUAAAGGGCGCGCAGGCGGCCGUCCAAGUCCGGUGUUAAAUGGUCGGGCUCAACCCGAUCACGCGCUGGAAACUGGGCGGCUUGAGUCCCGUAGGGGAUGCCGGAAUUCCAGGUGUAGGGGUGAAAUCUGUAGAUAUCUGGAAGAACACCGAUGGCGAAGGCAGGCAUCUGGCCGGAGACUGACGCUGAGGCGCGAAGGCGCGGGGAGCGAACAGGUUUAGAUACCCUGGUAGUCCGCGCAGUAAACGAUGCGCACCAGGUGUCGGGCGGCAGCGCCCGGUACCGGAGCUAACGCGAUGAGUGCGCCGCCUGGGGAGUAUGCCCGCAAGGGUGAAACUCAAAGGAAUUGACGGGG